UUACAGCCAUAUCACGUUGAAAUACAGGUUUCUCAUAUGAUCACCGAAGUUAAAUAACGUCGAGCCUGGUCAGUACUUGGAUGGGUGAGCGUUUGAGAAUACCAGGUGCUGUAAG